AGAAUCAACGCUGGCGGCGUGCCUAACACAUGCAAGUCGAACGCGAAAGCCCCGAAAGGGGCAAGUAGAGUGGCAAACGGGUGAGUAACACGUGGGUGACCUGCCUUCGAGCGGGGGAUAACGUCCCGAAAGGGACGCUAAUACCGCAUAACAUCCUGCCUUUGAAGAGGUGGAGAUCAAAGCUGGGGAUUCGCAAGAACCCGGCACUUGAAGAGGGGCCCGCGUCUGAUUAGCUAGUUGGUGGGGUAACGGCCUACCAAAGGCAACGAUCAGUA
rnacentral:rRNA from 1 species